CGCACCCGAGUUGUUUUGUCCGAU
rnacentral:siRNA from 1 species